rnacentral:rRNA from 1 species
AAUCUUCCGCAAUGGACGAAAGUCUGACGGAGCAACGCCGCGUGAGUGAUGAAGGUCUUCGGAGCGUAAAACUCUGUUGUUAGGGAAGAAUAAGUAUCGGGCGAGUAGGCCGGUACCUUGACGGUACCUUCCCAGAGAGCCCCGCCUAACUACGUGCCAGCAGCCGCGGUAAUACGUAGGGGGCAAGCGUUGUCCGGAAUUAUUGGGCGUAAAGGGCGCGCAGGCGGUCUUCUAAGUCUGAUGUGAAAUCUCGUAGCUUAACUACGAGCGGUAAUUGGAAACUGGGAGACUUGAGUACAGAAGAGGAGAGUGGAAUUCAACGUGUAGCGGUGAAAUGCGUAGAUAUGUGGAGGAACACCAGUGGCGAAGGCGGCUCUCUGGUCUGUACCUGACGCUGAGGCGCGAAAGCGUGGGGAGCGAACA